UACAGGGGGUGCAAACGUUGCUCGGAAUCAUUGGGCGUAAAGCGCACGUAGGCGGUUCGUUUAUGUCGGAUGUGAAAGCCCUUGGCUUAACCGAGGAAGUGCAUCCGAAACUGGCGAGCUAGAGUACUAAAGAGGAUCGCGGAAUUCCCGGUGUAGAGGUGAAAUUCGUAGAUAUCGGGAGGAACACCGGUGGCGAAGGCGGCGAUCUGGGAAGAUACUGACGCUGAGGUGCGAAAGCGUGGGGAGCAAACAGG
rnacentral:rRNA from 1 species